rnacentral:lncRNA from 1 species
GUGAUGAUCGAAGAAGAUCAUUGUGAAAGUUUUGGGGGUGCCCAAGGAUCUAUCUAGAUUGUAUCUAACACCUAGAGGGGGGAAUAGGUGUAAUAGUCAAAAACCACAAAUCUCAAUGUGAUAAAAAUAGAUGCGGAAAAUAAAAAUCACACCGAGAUUUACAUGAAAAAAUUUCAACUUGGAGAAAAACCCACGGGACCAACACGCGAAAAUAAUCCACUAAGAAUAAAAGAUUACAAGGUGAUUUACCGAAUGCACGGACUCAAACCUCUUCUAUCUUCUCCGGAUCUCGCGCACACUAACGGGUUGUCCACGCCCCACGUUCGACUCCACGAACGCCACGAUCUGAAUCCACGAAACGCCUCCACUCCGAAUCCACGAAGCUCACAAUCCGAAUCCACGAACCGUCGUCAAUCACGCCGAAUCCACGACGUCGUCAUGAAGAACAUU